rnacentral:tRNA from 10 species
CAAUGAGUUUAAGAUUCAUAUAUAAAGAUGAUUCUUUUGUUAGAA